rnacentral:lncRNA from 1 species
AAAAGUUUCAACUUUCUUGCCUGUUUCUGUCUGCAAAGCCAUCCUGAUUCCAGAUUCCUGCUGGAAAAGAGGACUGGGGGUUUGGUGAAAGAAACUGAUAGUCCAGUGAAGACUGAUGACCAUCUAUUACAGUCCUCAGUUUCCUCUGAGGACUUGUUGGAAUCACUUGCAAGUGACARCAAUGACAAGGAGGACCCACUGAAUGUCCUGGUGGAUGCAAGAGGAACUGAAAAUGGUAUGCACUGUGGAAUCACUCACUUGCUGAUGAAUUGUCUAGAUGAUGAGGAAGGUGGAACUGUCUUGCUGACUUUCAUGUGGAGAGCCGCCCUGAUUCCAACUGUCUGCCAUGGAUAAGGACUGGGGUAUGGUGGUAGGAACUGAUUUUCCAGUUGAACUGAUGGCCAUUCUUCAUUUCCUCUGAAAGCAACUUGUUCCCUUUAGGUGGUAUGAGGAUAUGUGUUCAGGGAAGCAGUGUGUCUGUGUGUGUAUUUGUGUGAUAUUAUUCUGAUUGUGUCUGUGUGUGGGUUUUUGUGUAUUUUACUAAAUAUUUAUUCCCUUAGUCSCCAGUGUGAAUGUUCUUAAUAAAAAUGCUAUCUUUAUUGCA